rnacentral:rRNA from 1 species
GUUCCAGCAGCCGCGGUAAUACGGAGGGUGCAAGCGUUAUCCGGAUUCACUGGGUUUAAAGGGUGCGUAGGAGGGCUGGUAAGUCAGUGGUGAAAUCCCCGAGCUUAACUUGGGAACUGCCGUUGAUACUAUCAGUCUUGAAUACCGUGGAGGUGAGCGGAAUAUGUCAUGUAGCGGUGAAAUGCUUAGAUAUGACAUAGAACACCAAUUGCGAAGGCAGCUCGCUACACGAAUAUUGACUCUGAGGCACGAAAGCGUGGGGAUCAAACAGGAUUAGAUACCCCUGUAGUCC